rnacentral:rRNA from 1 species
UCAUAGNGACUGNGGAAGGAUCAUUACUGAAAAACGCUCGAGGAUGUUGCUGGCGGCUUGUCGUCGCACGUGCACUCCUCGAACCAUUUCUGACCCUUCUCACACCAUGUGCACCCGUUGUAGGUCUGUUGACCUAUGUUUUUUUCUUAAAAACUCCAUCGAAUGUAUUUGAAUGUACCAUUGAAAGGGCUUUUGCCCAAGUCAAUAAAAUACAACUUUCAACAAUGGAUCUCUUGGCUCUCGCAUCGAUGAAGAACGCAGCGAAAUGCGAUACGUAAUGUGAAUUGCAGAAUUCCGUGAAUCAUUGAAUCUUUGAACGCACCUUGCGCCCCUUGGUAUUCCGAGGGGCAUGCCUGUUUGAGUGUCAUUGAACCUCCUCAACUUGACCUUUUAGGUUGAGCUUGGAUUUGGAGAGUGCCGGCGAGUUUCGGCUCCUCUGAAAAGCAUUAGCGAGCGACCAUCGCGUCUGCUUUGGCAUUGAUAAACCUGUCUAUGCCCUGGGCGCGUUUGACGGUGUUCGCUUACAGUGGUCCCAUAUAGGACAACCGUAACCCAACAAUCACCUCAAAUCAGGUAGGACUACCCGCUGAACUUAAGCAUAUCAUUAAGCGGAGGAAA